rnacentral:rRNA from 1 species
CCAUAAGAGGCAAAAUCUGCCCAGUGCUUUUAAAGCAAACGGCCGCGGUACCCUAACCGUGCGAAGGUAGCAUAAUCACUUGCCUAAUAAUUCUAGGCUAGAAUGAAAGAUCAGACGAGGGGUUACCUGUCUCCCUAGUAACAACAAAAACUAACCUCCAGGUGAAAAGGCCCGGAUAAAACUAAAGGACAAAAAGACCCUAUCGAGCUUAAGUAGGACCCCACGACUCAAAACUCGGCCCAACUACUUUUGUUGGGGCAACAAAGGACUUCACCACCCUCCUUCAAACAUAACUCCAAUAAGAAACCACCCCGCUCCUGACGCAAACAAAAAAGCUACCGUAGGGAUAACAGCGUAAUUUCUUUUAAGAGCCCAAAUCACCAAAGAAGAUUGCGACCUCGAUGUUGGACUAAGAACACUAUUAAGAGCAAAAACUUAAUAAAGUGGGUCUGUUCG